UACCCAAACAAUACAAAUCUCAAAACUCAAAAGACUAACUGCCUCAAAACAAACCAUGUGUGGUAUGAUAACGCUGAAAUGCCCACAAAAUGUAACGUUUUGUAACCUAAUCGUUAAUCAUACUCUUAUCGUCAGAUUUUCAUAUAUUGAAGGGAUUUGUAUUAUUCCAGAGUUGUUAUCUCGUUUUCAAUUAUUAACAAACAAAAACGUCAUACCUUCCCUCGUGAACAAGAAAGCACACAAAAGAGGAGAGUUACAUUUAUUUAAUUCAGUUCAUUUUAAAAUAUUUUCUUUUCUUCUGCUUCAUGUCUUCUCUCCCAUUAUACUCCCUCCUUAACUUUUCCUUAGAACUAUGUUCAAAUGAAUCCACUCCCUAUUAAGGUUUUCUUUUUUUGUCUAUUUAACCCCAACCCAUUCCAUAUAACGUCAAAAACAUUGUUGGGUUUCAUUACAAGAACACAAAAGACAUGGGUUUCACUAAAGAUCAAGAUCGGUUCUGUUCGACGCCUAAGCUUCCUCUGUUUUCAUAUCCAAUGAACAGACCAUACGAAACUCCGGGAUUAGCUACACCGCCGGUUAACAUCGCCGGUUCUGUUCCUUUUCUAUGGGAAGAAGCUCCCGGAAAGCCUCGUUCUUCCGUUAGAAAACCGCCGAGAACGAACCAAACCAGAGAAAACAGAGGAGUUGCGAGAUGCUUGGACCUUCCCCCUACGCUGAUUUUGCCAGGAGAAGCUUGUAAAUCGUCCACGGCAAACGAGCCUUCUCCGACAACUGUUCUCGAUGGUCCAUACGAUUUGCGUCGCCGUUCACUGUCGCUUCCGAGAUCGGCGGCUGUGAUCAGGAAGUUGAGAGGUGUGCCGGCGCCGUUUGGGUCAAGUAGAUGGGGAAGUUUAGGGAACUGCAAAGAGUUGUCUGAGGGUAUAUAUGACUUUUCACGUUUUAGAGACGGCGGCUGUGAUUGCCAGAAGGAUUGGGCUGGAGGAGGAUAUGACUUCGCCGGCGACGGCGGUACAACAGUGAAGCUUUUCAGACGUCUUAAAAGGAAAGGAAACCUUUUUAAUCUCUCUCAUGCAACAAAGUCCGACUUCUUGGUAAGUUUAGUUUUUUCAGCUAAACAGAAAAAUCAAAAGUUACAUACUUUUCACAAAUCCAUAAUUAUUUAUUUAUUUACUUUAUUGUCAAAAUCUUAAAAUAAUGAAGACAUAAUAAUACUUUUUUCGUUUUUUUGGUUAUCCCCAUUAUUCGAUAUUUAAAAACGCAGGCAAGGGUUUACGAAGGGUUUAAGCAGGUGAUUCCGUGGAGACGUAAGCAAGAGAAUCUACAAAGGACGAAUUCUUCCACUAUUUAAAUCGUAUCUCCAUUCAAUUUCUUCUAACUUUAAGUAUAGACUAUAGUUUAUAUACUAAUUAAUUAGUCUUCUCGUGUGUAUUAUUUAUUUAUAUAUAAUAUGUCAAUGAAACAACUUGUAUUAAAGUUUAGAAUUAAUAUCUAGGGAAUUCGAUUUUUAUUACAUGUAUAUAAUACUUUUAUUAAAUAGAAAUUGGGGCUCAUAUACACAAAGGAGACCAUAUUUAGCUAUAUUUUUUUUAAACUGGCUCCAUAUUUAGCUAGAUAACCCCUUUACUGUGAUUAUUGUUUCAUUUCCAGUAAUCCGAACCUACCUCUAUUAGUCUUCCUUCCCAUAGAUAUCAACAAAAAUGUCAUCUAAGAAUGGUGUCAAAAUAUAUAUUCUCAUCUCUACGAUGAUUUCUUAAAAAUAGUUUUAUUUUCUUAGCAUUUAAAUAAAUUUGGGCUAGUAUCACCAUUUUUUCUUAAACGACAGAGAAAACAAAAAGCUUGGGCGAAAUAGUAGAGGAAAUUUGUCUCAUACAUCUGCAACCUCGUGGAAUCGGUGAGCAUUAAGAUAUGAAGCUGAGAAGACCCCGUUCGCAGUCCACGUGAAAUCCAUAUUAGAUCCUAGACAAGUUUAUUGAUUGGAGGACAGGGUUUUCUGAUCCCAGACAAGUCUAUGUGUGGGAGAACGAGGUAGAUGAUGACUGUAUUGAGGAUAUAUGGUUGGACUUGUUCUUCGAUGCCCUGUUUUUAAGAAAUAAGUGUUUGUUGGUGGAGGGAUGAAAGCGGCUGACCUUCUCAGUUUACGUAACGAGAAAAAAAAAACAGAAAUAAAAAGGAUAAAGAAAAGAAAGAGAGGGACAGCAAUACAUAUUCAACUGAUGCUCGUAGUUUUACAUUAUAGAUCCCAACCAAGUUGGAGAGGCUUCCAAGUAGCUAUCAGUCACGAUUUUUCAAGAAGUUGAAACCUAGUAAACGAUGAAUCGGUGUUGUCUCAAAAUAAUGUUUGGCAGCAGCUAAGCUCAGAGAAUGUAAACGUUUAUGCCCCAAUAUUAUCACCAGACCCUUUGCUUCUGGAUUCACUAUACAGAAGAUUUGGCCUUAGAAUUAUCUACCCAAAAAGGAAAGAAAUAAGAAACAAGAUUACUCGGCACAAGUGCCUCAAGAGCAAUGCAUUACACCGCAAGAUCAACUAAUGCAAAGUUUAGUAUAAUGGCCAUCAUGAUUAAAAAGCCUGAUACGAGUGUCCUCUUGUUAAGUCCAUUUUAAAAUUUUGGCAAUAUCCAAACAUUUUCCCUUUUUUUCCCCUUCUGAUAAAAGGAAAAGUAACUGCACCUCCAAGGAAUAAGUAACAUUUUCCUUUUUUUGGGGGGGGGGGGUUUAUAAGGAAAAAGGAAAGUCUAAACCCUGAAUAAAAAGAAGAUUAUUAGCUAUGAAGGUUUCAUCCAAGUUAAAUCUCAAAAGUUUCAAGAUGGGUGAUGCAAAGAUAGUUCAAGGAGAGAAUUGCCCGAUAGCGCGAUGGAUAUAUCGAGGGAUAUGCAUGUUAGCAUCUGUGAGCGGGUUAAUUAUGCUCGCUCUAGAUCUCUUCUGGCCGGAGUUUUCUUCGUUGUCGCCACCGGAACAGAAAGAUGGACCGGGCGUGUUGGUGCUCUGUUCAGCACCGUUCUUGAUUUUUGCGGUUGUGGUGGUGAGGUCGUUGUACCUCCCGGUUCCGCAAUCUUUUGAUCUACAAAGAGGCGGGAGACAGCUAUUGUCUAGUUUCCUUGCAUGUAUGACGUUAUCUAUGUGCGCUGUAUCAACUAAGCGUUCUGUAGAAGGGCUUAUCUUCUCGUUUUCGCUGCUUUCUGGCUUGUGUUCCGCAGUGCUACUCGAAUGGCCAAUCAAAGAUGUAUGCGUCCAACAUGUUGUCUACACCUAUUUUGUGUUGGCUUUGAUUGGGUACUUAGGUUACCAGCGACCUGUUUGGCCGGCUUAUCUUUUCGUAGUUGCCUUGGUCAUUGUCAAUGGCUUUAUUUUCUAUGGAGUACUUCGUCUUGAUCUCCCAGAGCCACCAGAGCCGGAAGAGGAGGACUCCAAGGAUUCUCCGGUCUGAAGCUUUUCAGUUCAGGGGUUUAAUUUAACUGCUUUCCGUCUGUCGCAUGUAAUAAGACUCUUUGCUAAUUCUUUGGUAUAACUACUACUUUUCAUUUAAUUUUGGGUAUCCAUACAAAGAAACUCUCGACUAAAGAGUAUCAUAAGGUCCAAAAUAAACAAAAGUAAUUAAAUAAAAGCAAAAGAAUUACAACUUUCACCAAAUAAUUUUCCAAGAGAUGCUUAAAGAGUUUGUCGAUGUUGAUCAUAUCUUGAAGCCAUGACGAGCCAGAACUUGCGUAAGCCACCAGAUGUGCUUGGCCUGAAAUCAUGUGAGUUAUCAGCUGGUGGCUCCUCCACAACCUCAAUUUUGGUUUAUGUCCUCUGUUCACCAUCACUUUGAUAUAGAUCGAUGUUUUGUAUUUGCGAGAUAUGUUCUUUUUAAGAAAGCAUAAAUUCAAAUGAUUAUACACGAGGGUACUUGCCAUGCAAACCUCACCAUCAAAAUCUUAAUGCUAGCAAAUUUUAAUUUUCGAAACAAGGAACACAUGGUAAUUAGAUCUCUAUUUUGCACACAACAGCAAGCAGUAUGGUGAACAAGAUUAAGAUGACAUUAAAGCACUUACUUUGAUAGAUAAGCUAGCAACUUAGGCUGGUUUUCAAGAUAAACGUGCAUUGGCACAACAACUCAAUUAAGCAUACUGAAAAUAAGUUGAGUUUCUUACGUACUAGCUUUAUAUUUCACUCAGAUUUGGGGUUCCUACUAAUUAAAGGCAAAGAAGAAAGCUAGGCUCCCCAGUUUUGGGAAAUAUAGAUACUAAAGCAGUUGAUUAUGCACGCAAAGCUAGGGCGCUAAGGCACUUUUCCACGCAACCUGAAUUAUCUUAAUCCUUGAGGUCUUUGAAGUACUGUUCCAGUCAUUUUGGUUUCUGUGCUAGAUCUUGAUGUGCGAGAUCUGACCUAGUCAUCUCCAAGUCCGUUCCUUUCCAGGUUUGAUCUUACUUCUUGUUAUUGUGGGAGUUCUCUGUGCAUGCGUGUAAUUAAUUAAGUCUCUGAUCUUUGAUACAAGCUCCUCCACCUUUAAUUUUGUCUGCUCGCCUCCUUUAUUUCCCUCCUGGCUUCUCACCUUUCUACCCCUUUACCUCCUCAACACACUCAGAACAACUCACAUUAACCUUCCUUGAUUACUCCUCUGAGAUCAUACAAGUCUCCUAACAACGACGUGGAAAGGUUCAACUGUGAAGAGAAAUUAAGAUCCCUAAAAAGCGUAGCACACUUACUUGUGGUUCUUCGUCCUGAUAAUAUGUAAACUUGGAGAAUGGAGUGGGAUCACCGCGGCUGAAAGAGAGUAUGGGAACAGGAAGUUAGUGACGAGUGUUCUCAUGCGCUACGAGGCCUUAAGAAGAAGGUUUUCUCAGCUGGAAGAUGCGAGAGAAGCUGUAACAAACGUGCUGAUUUGAAAGCAGGAUCUAAUAUAACAUUACUCGAGCUUAAUCACACAAAAGAGUAUGGUUUUGGUUUGUUUUAUGCAUGUUAGAAUCUUUGAAAAUACUUUAUAUGUUUUCUUAUAUCAACCAUCCUUACCUAUUUACUGCUUAAAUGGGGUCCACGACAAAAGGAGCAAACAUUUUUUUAUAUUUUGUUUCUAACAAUCUAGACAAAAAUUGACAAUAAGCAAAACCUACUCUGAUUUUCUUUCUCAAUGACAAUGGCAAACAACGAAAAAAUAAUCUCAAA